AAAACUGAAACAAGAUGUAAAUUUGUUUGAAGUCAUAAUUACCUGUAACGAACGCUUGAAGUAAAUCAACUUGUGCUCUGUUAUGAGUUUUAUUGUUCUAAUUACUUCAAAAAUAUUUCUUUGGUGUUUUUCUGUGUACUUUGUCAGAAUCCAUCAGUGAACUAAUGCCAAAACGGGUCACAGUUUGCUAAUUGGUGUUUGUUUCUGAAAUUUUACAUAUAAGCUACAACUUGUGUCCACAGUGUAGUUUGUCCAAUUUAAAAGUGAGCAGAGUAUUGUUUAGUUGUGGAUACAAUCUGAAGCAAAAAUUCACAAUUACUCCCAGAUUCUUGCAUUUUCUUCAACAUUUGUUUCCUCUAUUAGUUUCUUCUUCAACUGAACUAAAACCACUUUUAACAGUAACGCAUUAAGAGACUUCUGCAAUCAGCAGAGCUGUGGUAACAGCACUACAAAGUACUGAGUCAUGGAGUCUUAAACCUGAAAGCAUAUUUUCCCACACUUGUCUAAUUGCAUUUCAGUUUCUAAAAGGAGAUUAGAAGCCCACGUGACUUGUAAGAGUUAUUAACAUUGUGAAUUAAAAUGCCAAACUUACAAAGUAUCAGGGCAGUGAUAAAUGAAAUGUGGGGGGGAAAAAAUGUGACCAUGGAAAUUUCUGCCAAAAAUGAUAUUCUGUGAUGUCAAAACGUUUUAAAUUUGCAUGAAAAAUGGCAGAGAGAAAAGCCUCUUAAAUGUUCCCAACAAAAACUCACACAUUUGUAACACAAGCUUACACUUUGGAAAAAUGGAGAUGCACAUCUCAGAAAUGCAACACUUCAAUCUUAAGAGGCAUUCUGGGAUUUUCUGUCACAAAUGUCCAGCGUUGUAACAAAAGAAUUCCAUGCAAAGUUUUCACUUUGCAAUGUAACAGAAUAUCCUUUUCUUUAUACAAAUGUACAACUUUUUGACAUCAGAGAAUAUUCAAGGUUUUUCAACAUUUAGUCCUCUGUGGCAUUUUUUUCUUUGAUCUACAAUGGCCUAAAGAGUGUCUUGGAAACUUUCAAAUAAAUGCCAAAAAAACUUGCCAUACGCCAACUACAACAAAAGCUUUCUCAUUUUGAAAGUACUACACCAUUUAUGUCAAGUCUACCUUAGUUUAGUUCUGUGUUCAGAGCCAUUUGUAUUCUUGUUUAAAUGAACCCUCUGAUGUCUUGCGUAAACAUUCAG